rnacentral:misc_RNA from 1 species
GUAGAGGGAGAUUUUUUCUCUCAACUUUGUCUGAGUUUUCUCCCUUGGUCCGAGUCGAAGUCUGCCUCUUGUAGGUUUCCCCUGCCCCUUCCGAGCAGGGGAAACUCUUCCCUAGCCCAGGAGAGUGUAUUUCUUCCCUCUCCGUCCCUAGCUGAGGUGUAAAUAUUUCUUUUGAGAUUUGGGUCUCACAAAUCUAGAGCUGCUGAGUGAGGGAGGCUUUUUUGUUGUAUCUGUUUGAGGCUAGUUUGUGCUUAUGUGUAGAAUGGAUUAUGGGGACCGAGGGUGAAGAAGGGUAACUCAAGGAACUUAACGCCGGCCUUUGGUUGCCGACUUCUCCUAAGGCUAUACAAGAUUGAAAAGCCAGAGCUCUGUCUUCUUCUCUCCCCGAGUUCACUUGCGUAGAUUCCUGCUCUUCGUAAACACCAGGGCGUACCAAUUAUUAGCUUGUAAGGGUGACUUCUUUUGAGCCACGCAUGGCUUGUGGAGUUACCUAUCUUCUUAUUGGUGGUUGCCGAUGGCUCUCGGCCUGGGUCACGGAUGAUGAGAACAGCGUUCUUGCUAGGUGUCGACGACACUGCAUUUCGCCUUCUGGUUCUAGCUCUAGGGGUCUGCAUUGUAAUUGGGCCUAGCUUCUUUGGAGCUUUAGCUAAUUUGCUUGAGCUAGACGUUUGAGGCUUUUGGGCCAUGAGCUUGUAAUUUGUAAUUCUGGGAUCUUUCUUUGGUGGCCAUGCGUCUUGUACCAGUUCUCAAUCUUAAUAUGAUUCUAGCU